rnacentral:tRNA from 1 species
GCGCUCGUAGUUCAACUGGAUAGAAUGCCGGAUUUCGAAUCCGUCGGUUGUAGGUUCGAGUCCUACCGAGCGCACCA